GGCACAGUCAUCUCUUGCACUCGUUCUUGCAAUCAUGGUUUCUCGCGUCGUGUUGGUCGUGCUGGUGGUGGUCGUCCUAGCGGCCGCAGCAGUGGCUCUCCCUGACCCCACGAAACGGCACUUGGGAUACGGCUUGUACGGAGGAUACGGAGGAUACGGCCUCGGAGGAUUUGGCUUGGGAGGCUAUGGAGGCUAUGGAGGCUACGGCUAUGGAUCCCACUAUCCCUACUACGGAUCCUACUACGGAUAGGUGAGGCUGUGAUGAAACCUGUAAACACUGGUGCAUCUCUCACCUCCGACUCCGAAGCUAAUUCCGACUUCAAACUCUUAAAAAAUCGUCGUCGGAGAUUUGAGUGGAUACAAUAGUUCGAUAUUUAUGUAAUAUACUUUAUACUAUCUCGCUUACACUGCGAGAUAUGAUGUCAUUCUUUAUAAUAAACUUUAAUAAUAAAUAUGGUUCUGUCUUA